rnacentral:rRNA from 1 species
AACGAACGCUGGCGGCAUGCCUAACACAUGCAAGUCGAACGAGAUCUUCGGGUCUAGUGGCGCACGGGUGCGUAACGCGUGGGAAUCUGCCCUUUGGUUCGGAAUAACAGUUGGAAACGACUGCUAAUACCGGAUGAUGACGAAAGUCCAAAGAUUUAUCGCCAGAGGAUGAGCCCGCGUAGGAUUAGCUAGUUGGUGUGGUAAAGGCGCACCAAGGCGGCGAUCCUUAGCUGGUCUGAGAGGACGAUCAGCCACACUGGGACUGAGACACGGCCCAGACUCCUACGGGAGGCAGCAGUGGGGAAUAUUGGACAAUGGGCGAAAGCCUGAUCCAGCAAUGCCGCGUGAGUGAUGAAGGCCUUAGGGUUGUAAAGCUCUUUUACCCGGGAUGAUAAUGACAGUACCGGGAGAAUAAGCUCCGGCUAACUCCGUGCCAGCCGCCGCGGUAA